UACAGAGGGGGCAAGCGUUGUUCGGAAUUACUGGGCGUAAAGGGCGCGUAGGCGGCCUUCUAAGUCGAACGUGAAAUCCCCGGGCUCAACCCGGGAACUGCGUCCGAUACUGGAAGGCUUGAAUCCGGGAGAGGGAUGCAGAAUUCCAGGUGUAGCGGUGAAAUGCGUAGAUAUCUGGAGGAAUACCGGUGGCGAAGGCGGCAUCCUGGACCGGCAUUGACGCUGAGUGAGCGAAAGCCAGGGGAGCAAACAGG
rnacentral:rRNA from 1 species